GAGGGGCGGAGGGCGCGGGGGGGUUGUGCCGUGUGGGGUGAGGCGGGCUGCGAUGGUGGCGUCUACUGGGGGCGUGAGGCGAAGCCGCGGGAAGCUGGCAGCGGGGCCUGGGCCUGGGCCUGGUAGGGCCCCGUGCCGCCGGAUCCGCCUGAGGCCAAGGGGGCGGGCCGGCAGGCGGCGGGAGCGGGCUCUGUGAGGGUGGCUUGGGUGCCUGUCACGGGCCGCUCCGCACCACGAGUGCCGCCGGGACCUCCGCGGGUAGCCGGCCGGCAGCAGAGAGAAUGUGGCGGGCCCUGAGUGCUCGCAUACCUCUGAGGCCGUGUUUGCUGAAGGAGGCAGGUGGUACUGCCUCUCUGUGUGCCGGAAAUUACUUAAUAAAUUAGGUGGCAAGACCCAAGCAGUAAGGAAGGUUUCUUUACAGGGUUGCUUUGGAGCCUGCUUCUAAUGCUUCAAAGGUGUGGUGCUGUGACAUGGCAAGUGAGGUAUGUUCUACCUGUCACUGCAGCAAGUCAUGUACAGUGACCUAUGCUCUAAUCUCCCUGCCAGCAGUGCAGACCAACUGAAGUGGCCCAUGCUGUUACUUUACAUGUUACUACAAAUUAGAUUAAAAUCUGCUGCUCCAGUUUAAUUAGCUGGCAGUAUUAUUAACAUACUUCCUGGAGCCUUUACACUGUAGUAUGAAAUAUGAAGUAUUUUUAAGACUUAAACCUCACUAAAUGAAGGGAAGCAAUCAAAGAUUCACAUAUCAAGGGGAGGAGUUGAAGAGGUUUGUAUUUGGAUUAUUCCACAUCAUAAAACUCAACUGUCAGGCUAAGUGGGUACAAGCAACCCUUUCACCCCCCAAUUGAUACAGAAGACUUCUCUCACUUUGCGUGAAUGUUUCUGCAUUUUCCUCUUAACCAUUUUUUUUUUUUGCUUCUGACUAAAAAAUAUGUAAAGAGAUGCUCCAGUCUAAGUACUUUGAAUUACUAUCAAGCUGCCAGAUGCCUUGCCUAAAAAUGGUGGUAGGGGAAAAAACCUUAUGUGAUUGCUUUCCUUUUCUGAAACAGUUAUGGCAAGUUUUGACAUUGUUCAACUUGGGUCAUCAAAUUCAUACGAGCUAUUGUACUACAGUGUAAGGCAUACAUUUUAGAAGAAUGAAAAGUACAGGAAGUUUGAUGUGUGAAUGUAAAUUUACUCAUCUUUUAUAUAAUGCCUUCUUGAGGUGCUGAUGUUUUCAGUACAUUAAUUGUUCAUAAUGAAUACUCUUGCAUAAAACUUUUCAAAGGUAAUUUUCUGAGGCCAAAGAAUGACUAAAAAGUUAUUCACUAAAGAGCAGUCAAUCUGUAUCCAAAAGGAGACUUAUGGGAUGUGAAAUAAACUGACUUCACAGGCAAGAAGUUUCGCUAGAAAGAAUCUGCCCUUCUACAGGUUUGAUGCCUUUAAAGAAGCUACAGAAGUGGUGUUGGCUGGUCCAGAGGCAAAAUUAUUAUGUUCUGAUUAUGUGCCAUUGAAAGAAAGAUAAAAAAAAAGCUUUGGCAAAAUACCCAGACUUUCUGUAUAAGAAGUUUAUCUCUGCUACAGGUAAUAUGUGAUCAAUUUUGUGCCAUGAGCUUCAGGGUGGACAAUACUAAUCAGUAAAGAUAAGGUAUGUUUAAAGAAUAUACUUAAAAACAAGGAAAAUAAAUCAUACUGUUUACAGGCAGUAGAUUUUAAACAACCUGUCAAAUAUUUCUUGGCUGUUACAACCUCUCCUAAGAGCUUUUCCUGGUUUGUAAAGAAAAUUAAUGUGAAAUCAAUAGUGCUAUUUAAAAAUUCACCAAAUGUUUCCUAGCUGAAGUUUCACUUCCAGGUGCCACUAACACCACGGGCAGAGUGGGCAGAAAUCACAGACUUGACCUUAAUGGCAAACAAAAGAGAGUGCAGAUGGAAAGUGUGGCAAAGAAAGAUGCUUUCAAAAGCAACCAGGAGGAAGACCUGACUUCCCCCCACAAGAGCAAACCUUGAGAGCUGCCAUGGGCUGAAGUCCUUUGUUUGGAAAUGCAGUCUAGAUGCCAUGCUGAAUUGCAGCUGAAGGAUGCAAACUGGCAUAAACAGCUACAAAACAUUCACAUAAUGGUGAAAACCAACAGAAACACAGUAAAACAAGUUUCCCAUUGCAUAUUACAACCAUAUGACCUGCUGGACUUCGGACAAUGGAGAGGCAAUGUUUGCUACUUCAGGUUGCCUCAUUCCAUUAUCCCAGAAGACUUGGGAUCAUUGUGGAAAUGAGAAGAAACAAGGCAUAUAAUUAGAUUUGCUUGUUAGUUUACCUCUUUUAAUGGAAGGACAAAGAAGAGUAAUACAGUACAUGGUGAUGUUGCAGCCAUACAUGUGCUUAGGCUACUUCUCUGCUGAAGAAGAUGCAUUGUAGUUAAAAGUUGUAUGAGUCCAUACAACUGUAAUUACCUGCAGUUGCCACAUUUGAUCUGUGAAGGUAAAUAGGAUUUGUUGGUAUCCCCUCACCUCUACAGAAUAAUGCAGAACUGUUUUUCCAGCCUUUCGCAUGGGGUUGUUCAGAAAUAGCAGAAGAGCAAGCCAGUAGAGUUUGGGUGUGGUAGCCUUUCCUGAAAGGCUGAUUUCCUCAGCUGCUGGACCCAAUGGUGAGGUUUAGCGAGUGCUCUCAGUAUUAUCUCCAGACACCAUGCCCAUGCUUUCUCUGUGGCAUCCAAACAGAUUAUAAAUAGGCUGUGUUAUUUCUCAUGAUGAUUCUAGUUUUGGGAGUUUAUGUGUCUUACACUUCCCCAAGUUUUUUUUUUUUUUUCUCUGAACUUCAGAGUUAGAAAUUUGUUUUUCUUUUAAGGCUAAAAUUCAGAUUCACAUGGAAGCACUUGACUCCAGAAGCUGCAGCUUCAACCAGCAGAUCGGGGAGUCAUGAUAAAAUUGGCAGAAUUGCACUGCUCUAAGCACUUUGAGACAUAUGCUGCUUUUUCCUACUUCUGGAAGUAGUCCCACAGAUGUCUCAUGAUUAUUCACUUGAGUCAUGGUUGCAGAAUUGAGUUUUUGGUGGUUUGGAUUCCCAGUUUCAUACACUGCGUAUUUGAAGUACAAAUUCUAAUAGAAGACUUACCUGGUUUAAAACAUAAAAGAUGUAUUUUACCAAAACUCAGUGUUUUGAACUUGUACGACAUCGCCUCUUGACUUAACAUUUGGUCAAAAUGAGACAUCUCCGAGGGAAAAAAAAUAGGAAAAUAAACUGGACGUGGCACACUGCUAUUAAAACUUUGGUGUUUGUUUUUCUUUAUGUGGUUUCCACCAGUGAUACUGUUGUGGUGUUAGUCACUAGGUGGUGCUCUCCUACAUGGUCUUCUGCCUUCCUCUUGCCAGGGUGUGAGUGGCCCAGGCUGGCAGAUUUCAACUGGUGUUUAUUUUGGAAGGGAAGUAUGGGAGUUUAAAAAGCUUAGACAGCAGCAUCUCUUACCCGUUUGGACUGCAGUGACUUUAAGAGGAAGAUUGCUCUAGAGAGAGUGGGUAGUAGUUUUUGGGCUGAGAAUCGUGAAAUGAGAGAGUGCCUUUGUGCCAUUUAUAACCAUCUCUGCUCCCAGGUUAAUGGACUCUAAGAAACGUGGUGGUGGUAAACCUGUACUUACAAGCAGUUUAAGGCUGUGCUGCAAGGCUUUAAUAUCUAAUGUGCCAACAAAUAGCUUUUUCCCAGGUGUGUUUUUAGUGUUAAACAAAUGAAUUAUUAAUUUGUAUGUGCUGUACCAUGAACAGAUGUCAGGCACCUGAGACAACUUUGAGUUUUCACUUAUUUGCUUUGUCUUCUUGAAAUUGAUUCAGCUUCAUUCUGUCAGGGUAUUUUUCCUAGAAAAGGAAAACAAAUUCCAUCUGCAACAGUCCUUUACAGAGGUCAAAAUCUUAGAUGUGUCCUGAGAAGAGAGAUUUAAAGGUUCAUUGGUGUCUGAAAAAGCUUGGUGCUUUCUCUAAAUUUUCCACAAAGCUUCUGGAACAUUUGAAUCGACUGAGUCUAACUCAGUCCAGUUUUCAGGCAAGGAAAGUUGUUUGCUUUUUCCUUGCUUGUAGUAUUUUUAUGAGAAGUGAGGGCAGGGUAGAAUCAGAUGGAAGGAAAAAAAGCGUGGAGGAAUUGCAACAUCAAAAGCUUAAAUCUGCAUCAUUGGUUUGAAAAAUGAAAACAUUAAUUGUGUAGCUUUUGCAUCUACAUUUCAGGAAGUUUUAAAAAUGCCAUUUUUGUUCUUGGAAACACUGCAUUUAUUCAAAGAGGGCUGGGAAUGAAAAAUAUUGAUAAGCUCUGCUAAGCGUUUUCAUAUGGAAUCUGUUUUCAGCCACAUACCAGAAAAUGUCUUUGUUAUUUUUUUGAAUGAGACCCUAAUCUUGGAAUGACUUUUCAUUUAUCAAAGCCUUUUAAGUCUGCUAUUGUGUUUCCAGUCAGAUCCUUUCCAGUCACUUCUUUUUUCCUGUGUCAGCCUCUUGCAAACUCACCAUAGGGCAAAGUUCGCAGUUAUUUUCCACAGGCACAAGGAUUUCCCCUCUCAGGGGUGCACUUGGGCUUUAUGCAGUGGAAGCCAAGCACACAUUUAUGCCAGCUCUAAUUGGUUGUGAUAAAUUUUCUUGUGGUAUAUUAUAUUAAAUAGUAAAACCUACAAUUUGUGGUUUAA